GGGCCGCGCAGUCUAGUCUGCCGAGCGACGCCGGCCGGCGCGCACCGCCUUAAAAGCCAACCGUACCCUAUACACGAAUCGUUCACCCAACAGCAAGACAAAGUUCGCGACAUCAGUGAAUACUAAGCAAUGGAAGUGUGACGUUACGUUUGUUUGUUCAGGACCUUAUGAAAGAUAAGGAGACGAUAAAAGCUUUUUAAACCCGGCCUUUUGUAAUGUCACAUAAUGUUCAUAUACCACACAAUCAAUGUGCCUCAACGUGUAUGUAACGGGCACAGAAUGUGACCAGAGGAUUAGUGAGUGACGUGAUGCAACUAGUAAUGUUGAACUUCUUAAUCAUGUUCGAUGUGGUGUUCAUAUUCUUUCUGUUUCUGAUCGCCGUGACGUGUGUAAUGAAUUAUAUGCCGGGGAGGAAGAGGCAGGAGGUGAUAGAGGAGGAGGUUGACGAUGAUGUCAUCCCCCCUCCACCACUGUUCGCUGGUGAUGAUGACGAACUACCGUUGACUAGUCGAGAUACAUAUGUUGUUAUUCCACCGCCCCUGGACAACGUUAGAGCUAAGGACGGCUGUCCUAUACACGUGGUGUAGUACAUAAGCACUGAUAUAUUAUAUCAACGUAGGAGUUUAUUAUGAAGAAGCCUUAUGAGAAAGUAGGUGUCGAAUGUAAAAGAAGUAGUUGUUUUUUACCAAUUAGUCAAAUAAAUUUUCUUGUUAUAUAAAGACUUUACUGGUGGGAAUUCGGGACUCAAGUGAAGGCACAUAUGGGCUUAAGGAAUUGGCUGUAUCACGUUUAUAGGCAUCACAAAAAUAUCAUAAUAUUAUAUUUGACAGAUUACGCAUUUUAUCGAGAAAAAAUAUAACUUUGAUAAAUGGUUAUAGUAUUAGGUAGAACAAAUAAUGAAAACAAUGUUAUAGACAAGUUUAUGAUGUUGAUUUUGUAAGUGUAGCAACCUAAUUAUAUUUUCCUUAAGUUUAUCUUUAACACCGAGCAUAUAUACUUAUCAUUUACGUAUGUCUCUGUUAGGUAAGCAAACACUAUGUUUAUGUAAAGUGUUCAAAUUUCGCAGAACAAUUGCAAGUGCUUGUUUAAGAUGAAUGUGACUGAAUAAUAGAUAUAAUAGAUAAAUUUUAGAGUAUAAUUAGUUGUACGUUUGCUUGCUACAUUGUAUUAAGUUUUGGUGCUUGUAAGCACAAAUAGAUGUAAGCAAACAUCUAAUUUAGCAACGUAUCUCACUCCAUUUAUACAGUAAACAUGGUGUGCUUCAAGGGAUUACUUACUUCGGUCUCAUUUGUAAGAUUUUUCGAAGAAAGUCUAGGUAAAUAUUCAUUAUAUGAUUAAACAUUUACUGGUUUAGCGAUUCUGGUAUUACAUUAAGAAAUAUCUUCCCAUAAUGGCUGAUACCUUUAUACGCCUAGUCCAAUAGAACAAGCAACUUAUUUUUAAAAUUUGUACUUUAAGUUGUUCGUGAUUUAACACAUUAGAAAAUAACGAGAUAAAUUAGCUGAUGGUUUACGAGAAUGCAGUUGUCGUUACAAUUGAAAUAGCAAAAUGUAUUAUACUGCUCAUAACUUAAAGUCAAAAUUUAAAUGAUAAAUUACUUGUCGGAAUAGUGCGGUUGGAAUGAAUAACGAUCUUUAAUUUGAGACUGAACUGCAACAUACGCACGAGUGAACUUUGCGUCAGUAACUAUAGUAUUUUGUCUCUCAAAAUUUAAAGAAAUAUUUAACCUCAUCGUGCGAAGUUUCUGAUAUAGUAUGCACUGUGGUUUACAGUGUACACACACGACCUAGAAUGACCUAUCUUAAUUUAUUUUCUUAAACCUACUUUAUAAGAUACAUAACAGCAUAUUAGAGCAUUGUAAUAAAAUUGUAGAAUUAACAUUAAUUUCAAUACCAAUAACUCAAAAUUCUUAAGACAGUUUCAUAUAAAGUAUAAAAUCCUGUGAGGGUAGCGUCCUCUUGUGUGAAGAGUUUCUAGAUUGGCAUCGGCUUACUAUUACAUCAAGUCUAUUAUUUUUAAUAUGAAUUUGAGAAAUUUAAUAUCUACAGUGUGAUGUUUCUUUAUAAUUAUUUAUUACCGCAAAAUUUGUAUGCAGGUGAAAUUGAAAUUAUUAUUAUUCUAUUACAUCCAUUAGUAAUCUACCAAUAAAACAAAAUAUGUUCCAUACAAAACACGUAUUAAAAACAACAAAAUUUUUUUAAUACCCAUACUAACUUGACAUAUAGACGCACUAUUAAUAUAAAAUUCUUUUAAAAUAUAAAUAUCUCAUCUAAAACAUAAAUGUGCAAUAAGAGGCAAGUUGAACAUUAAAUGCAACAUUAUAAUAUAAAUUUAUAUAACCAUUUCUUAUUUGUUGGUAGUACUACCAUGUUUUCUACUUAAUAAACAAUUAUUUACACAGUGCAUUCAUUUCAUUUGGGCUGUAACACAAGCUUGAAAGAUUUGGCUUGAAUUAAUUUAUGUAAUAUUACACUCGGCUGCUGCGUCGCCAUUUCCUCUUUCUUUAAUCUUGGCUGGACACGCUACUGCGUGUCUAGCCAAGUUUAAGUUUUAAUGACAGAACUCUCUUGAAAGAAUGACUAGCGUCCUUUUUAAAUAUUUCCGAUAUAAUAAUCUUAUAAAAAAUACUAUGAUAUUUUUUAAAACGUUUUGACUUCACCUGUACAGUGUUAAUGUUGUGGAAUAUUUACUUUGUAUCACUAACUAUAAAUUGAAGGCCUAUAUCUUAAGGAAAUCGGUAUAAUAACAAUUAAUCUUUACACCUACAGACCCUUUUGUUGGGCGAACUUUACCUAAGACCUUCACAAGAUCAUCGUGUUCCUGGUAUUAUCCAUUUACACCCCAAUUAAUCAUUUUAAUGUUCAUUCAAGGUAAUUGCUGAAAAUUUGCGUACCAAUUUACACAACACACUUCCUAUUACCUAAUAUAUACGUAUAUAUAUUUGUUUUCCAUUGGGAAUUGGGAGUAUUGGGAAAUUUCCGCGUACAUUUUUAACUCGGUGAAUUUGUAUUUUUUAUUUUAAGUUAUUUUAUUUAUAUAUCUAAUUAUUAUAAAAACAAUGCAAGUAUGUAAAUUUACCGAUUUCAUGAUACUAAUGACUGGUAAUUAUUUAAAUCUUAGAUAUAACAUAAAAGUAACAUUGACUUACAUUUUAUAUCUGACAAUUUUAAGUUUUAUAUAGGGCAACACACCCAAAAACUCUGCUUGUAGACACGUUUAUCUGUAAACCGUUUACGUGCUCCCAAUUAAAUAGAUAUAUAUUUACUCCAUACCAUAACGUUCUUUUAUUAAUUCUACAUCACCAGUGACUCCACCAACUAUCCGUACAACAACCAUAUUUUAUAACUCAAUUAGCAAUUUCAAUACUUCAAUUUAUAGUUUUUAAAUAUUAUUUUUAUUUUCAAUAAGUAUUAUUACAAAUCUGCCAUUAAGACACAACAUCACAAAACAAUAACAUAUACACUCGUAUAUAAAAAAUAAAAACAAAAUUAUUAAUUAAUAUUUUUUAAAGAGGUCUUCUGCAUAGUUCACAACUGUUUUUUUUUUUCCCAAGAAACAUGGAUAUGAAACUUUUUUACAUACUAAUAUGGGGCGUCCAACUGUCAAGUGAAUAUGGAAUGUUCUUUAAGAAAAUGUUCCGUUUUAUUAAUAAAAUACUCUUUUUAUUUCAUGCUGUAUACAAAUUAUUUAUUAUCACUGUAAAUGUUAAAUAAGUACAAAUGAGUUAAAAUGGUUCAAUUGUAACAUCCAUUGUACAGCGUAUCGCAGAUGCAAAUAAAUAUUUCCGCUUAUAUUUUGCGUAAUGAAUAAAUAUUAACAAUCAUUCCGGUCUGAACGAAACAUUCGACUAUACAUAGUAAUAUAGUUUAGGUUAAGACGUAAUUUAAUAAUAAAAAGACAAUACAAUUGUAUUACGAAAUAUUUCUCAUAUCAGUUUUAUAUCAAUUCGUUUUCCGAAAAACUAUUAGUAAUUUGUUAUUAGAUGAUUAAAUGUUAGAGUCUAUCUAUUUCGAAUUUUUUAUUAUAAAAUUAUUAUUGCGUCGUUCUAAAAACGUUUACACGGGCAAUUUAAUUGUAGAAUUGUCAUACUACAUACAAGAUAUCAUAAAUUUUUUUGCGAUAACGAUAUUUUGUAACUAAAGUUAGAUAUAGUAGUACAGUAUUUGAAUAAUUUAAUAUCUUUGACAGGAAGAUUCGUUUUUUGCUCCGUUAACUACUGCCAGGCUAUUAAUGCUCAAAAAUUGCCCGUGUAUACAUUCCUUUAUGUUUGUUAUUUAAAUAUCAAAUUAUAAUUAUAUUUUAUUACAAAAUUUAUGUAAUAGUGUUUAUUUAUUAAUUACAUACAUAGUACAAUUAUAAUUAUUAGAGCAGGCUUUUAUACACGAAAUCCAAUAGUAUGUAAUUAACCUAUUUUAAAUCCGAUAUAUUAUCAUGAUAUUUUAUAGUUAUUUUGUAAUUUAAUUAAAAGAAGCAUAAUGUAUUUGAGUAAAUUUUUAAUUAGUAUUUGUAAUUAUUCUUUCUUAUUAAUUCAAGGCAAAAUUAGAAGCUGUUUUAUUCAUGUUUUAAUCCAUCCAUCCAUUAAAUAUUAUACAAGACUGUCAAAAAGAUAUAAGUUUACCCUAAAACAGUUUCAGUUUAUGCAACGCACAUUCCUUUUACAAAAUUAACAUAAGCUGUUAUUUUUGUCUAAUUUAAAAGUAAGACAAUAUGGCUCAUGUUUUAGAUAUAUGUUUCAAUACCUAAUCUGAUAAAUGAUUUAAACUAACAUAUUAAGUACUCAAUAUGUUUUUUUUUUAAUCAGUCCUGAGUUUUUAAUUACGGUUAUACGUAAUAAAAGUUAUUAUAAUUUAUGCUACCUUUUAUCGGCAAGUACGUACACGUGACUGGGAUAUGUUGAAUGAUCGGGAUUAAAAGUAGCCUAUAUCUUCUUCUAUCUCAAAUGACCUAUAGGCCAAAUUACAUGGUGAUUGAUUUAACCAUUUAAUAGUAAAAUCAAAAAGCAAAAAAUAAACUCACCAAAACACAAAAUCAUAUAAAUACACUUAAAAAUUAUGAGUUAACAGGUAUCAUUCUUACUUUCUAAUGAUCAUUUUAGGGUCAAUCCCGCAUCGCAUAAUAAAUCAACCAAUUGGCAUGCCAGUAAGAGUAACCUAUUUAUUGAUCCACUCUGCUGGUCGAUGCUGUCAAUCGAGCUUGAAAUAAAAUUGAUGUAUUAAUAUUCCUUUGCAUAUUAUCAUCAUCAUCAUCAUCAUAUCAACCGUUAACUGUCCACUCCUGAAUUAGGCCUCUCCCAUUAGGGGUAUUUUGCCAGUAGUUGCCAUAUUUGGCAGGCAGGUUGGCAACCGCAGUUAGCUUUUGGUGAUAUUUUAAGAAGAGCACUGUUGCCCACCCUCGACCAGUAAGUUCAUCGUGUGCUAGCGGUUGAUGAGUCUUUAAAAAAUGGCGUUGCUACAAGUAUUAUAUGACUUUGUUAUAAUUUAAAAUAAAACAAGAGGAGUUAUUAAUAAUUACGCCCUUUUCUUGCGACAAUAGCCUUUUAACAUCUUGUUAGACAUUUCCGCUACGAGACGCAAAAUGUUUUAAUUUUGUUAAACAAAUAAUAUUUUUUUAAGUGAAGGAAACAUUUCUAAUUUUAUAUUUAUUUUAAUUAAUUUUAUUGACCAAUAAAAUAUGAUAUAAAAUGUGUAUUUAGGUUGCCGAGGUUUCCUCAAGAGACUACAACAUGGGGUUCAUCAAAAAUAGGGCCACGAGAGCGUAUAAAUAAAUAGUACAGUGUUAUAAAAAUGAAUGCUUGCUUUAUUUAUUUAAACUUCAAUGCAUAUUAUACAUUAAUAAUAUAUAUAUGGCGCACGUAAUUCCUAUCUAUAAUAAGAGACUACUAAGGAAACUAAAUGAUCAAAGGAUGGUAGCAGCGUUGUUCUUAAAACAUCACCAAAGCCUAACUGCGGUUGCCAAUCUGCUUGUCAAGAGUGAAAAAUACUGGGAACACUCCUCUUAUGGGAAGGCUUAUGCUCAACAGCGGACAAUAAACUACUGAUAUGAUGAUGACGAUAAUAAUAAUAAUAAUUAAUAUAAUUACAAUUUUGACUUCUUAUUUUACAAUAUUACGAUUGCUUGUUUUGAUUAAUGAGAGAAAAAAUAUUUUAUAUAUCAUUUAUAAAAUUAUAGUAAUAUUUUUUUUGUACAACUCAGAAUGGCAAACAAGCUGACGGCCCACUUGAUGGUAAGUGGUAACCGUCGCGUAUAAACAUGAGCAGUACCAUGGACAUAACAGAUUAUACUGUUUCGCCCAUGAUACUCCCCAUGCGUUGCCAUUCCUAAGAACUCAGAUGUUAUUCCUCUGUACCCUGUAAAUUCACGCCAAAUAAAUAUAUUACAUUAUUAACCUUUACAAUGCCUUCUUGACUACAUAACUGUUCCGAAUUGAUUAUACUGAUACUAAUAGUCUAAUAGUAAUUUACAAUUACCUACCACUUAUUAUUAUAAUUUACUAUAAAAAAAUUACUUAAGUAAAAUAAAUAUAACUUAUAAAAAUUCGUGUAAAGAUAAGACAAAGUCUAUCAAUUACUUCCAGGCAAAUAACAAUGUUAAUGAAGUGAUGAUAAGUGACAAGAGUAAAGGAGACAUUCUCAAUCUAAUAAACUUCAGGCUCUUUUAAACGUCAUUUUGUCGACACUUAAAGGAUCCAUUACUUUCGUCUGUUUUUUGUAAAAAGCAAAAGAAUUUUAUUGAUACCUAUUUAAAUUAACCUCGAUCUCAAAAAUAGGGUUGUCGAAAUUCCAUGUCACAUCGAAUGUUCAUGUAAAAGUUUUUUUUAACGAAUGAUAAUGGAUUAGUAACCCUACCUGCACUAUACAUAUACGUGUACGCUACGCUAGGGAGGUACUAGUGACUAAGUAGGUCAACAAGUCUAUCGUGACUAAUUCACCAAGAAUUAACUAUGAUGGUUUCCAGGAAAGAUUGUAUAAAGGUCGACCUGUUGCUAGCAAUGAAACCACUAAACUCAUUUACUAUAAACUCCUCCCCUAAUAUACAACUCAUUUUCCAAAAAAAAAUACCAAUUUUAGAAAUAAUAAUAUAGAUUUAGACAAUAAUAUAUACUACCUUUUAAGUAAAUAUCUUUUAUUUAGUAUUAGCCGUUAACUGUCCAAUACUGGGCAUAGGUCUUCCCCAUAAAGAGAGUUUUGCCAACAGUUGCCACACUUGACAGGCGGGUUGACAAUAAGUAUCUGCUGAAUAUUAAUUUGUAUUUUUAAUUACCGAUGUGAUAGGUACAACAAUGUAAUCCUGGUUUAGUAGGUAAUAUUAAAAAUUAUCUAAAAAACGUUCACAGUCUCGUAACUGUUUAUGCUGCACAUCUGUUGUUAAUUACAACCGACGUGACGUUAUAUUAUCUACUUGCAUUAAUCUAAGCGUUUCUAAAAAAAAUCCUUCAUAUUACCUACAGUUUACAAUGACAAUUCUUACUAAUAGCAUAAAUAUGCAAGUUAAUUUAUUUAUUGAUUAGUUACCUCUUAAUAUCUUCAUUAAAAGCAUACACCUACCCUCAUAUUCAUAAAACUAAAACAAACCUAUUUUACCUGUUACACUUUUUAAGCUAAAAUAAGUUUAUAAAAGCUUUGAUGUUCUCAUGAUUAAGGGAGCUAAUUUUUAUUACAGAUACAGGCUACUUUUUGUCCCACUUAUUAUUCUGUCAUAAUAAGAGUUCAAUAUU